rnacentral:rRNA from 1 species
CCGACUGCUAUUUGGGUGAGAAUAAGCCAUGCGAGUUGAAUGGGAUACCUAAAGAUCCCAUAGCAAACUGCUCAGUAACACAUGAUCAACUUACCCUAUAGAGAAAAAUAACCUCGGGAAACUGAGGAUAAUGUUUCAUAAUUGAAUUGGCUUGGAAAAGUUUUUCAAUGAAAAGGAUAAAAAAAAUGGUUUUUAUCUGCUAUAGGAUAGGAUCGUGUUCGAUUAUGGUUGUUGGUGAGAUAAUGGCUCACCAAGCCGAUAAUCGAUAGGGGCCGUGAGAGCGGGAGCCCCGAGAUGGGUACUGAGACAACGACCCAGGCCUUACGAGGCGCAGCAGGCGCGGAACCUCCGCAAUACACGAAAGUGUGACGGGGUUACCCAAAGUGUUCAAUAGAACUGUGGUAGGUGAGUAAUGUUCCCUACUAGAAAGGAGAGGGCAAGGCUGGUGCCAGCCGCCGCGGUAAAACCAGCUCUUCAAGUGGUCGGGAUAAUUAUUGGGCUUAAAGUGUCCGUAGCCGGUUUAGUUAGUUCCUGGUAAAAUCGGGUAGCUUAACUAUCUGCAUGCUAGGAAUACUGCUAUACUAGAGGGCGGGAGAGGUCUGAGGUACUACAGGGGUAGGGGUGAAAUCUUAUAAUCCUUGUAGGACCACCAGUGGCGAAGGCGUCAGACUGGAACGCGUCUGACGGUGAGGGACGAAAGCCAGGGGAGCGAACCGGAUUAGAUACCCGGGUAGUCCUGGCCGUAAACGAUGCAUACUAGGUGAUGGUACGGCCAUGAGCCGUAUCAGUGCCGUAGGGAAACCGUUAAGUGUGCCGCCUGGGAAGUACGGUCGCAAGGCUAAAACUUAAAGGAAUU